rnacentral:rRNA from 1 species
AACUAUAGUAAGCUUCUAAAACUAUUUAGCUUGAGAAAUGGAAGGGAAAGUGGAAUUCUUAGUGUAGCGGUGGAAUGCGCAGAUAUUAGGAAGAAUACCGGUGGCGAAGGCGACUUUCUGGCCAUUAUCUGACGCUGAGGUACGAAAGUGUGGGUAGCAAACAGGAU